AACGAACGCUGGCGGCAUGCCUAACACAUGCAAGUCGAACGAGACCUUCGGGCCUAGUGGCGCACGGGUGCGUAACGCGUGGGAACCUGCCCUUAGGUUCGGAAUAACUCCCCGAAAGGGGUGCUAAUACCGGAUAAUGUCUUCGGACCAAAGAUUUAUCGCGUUUGGAUGGGCCCGCGUUGGAUUAGCUAGUUGGUAGGGUAAAAGCCUACCAAGGCGACGAUACAUAGCUGGGCUGAGAGGAUGGUCAGCGACACUGGGACUGAGAAACGGCCCGGACUCUUACGGGAGGGGGCAGUGGGGAAUAUUGGACAGUGGGCGGAAGCCUGAUCGAGCUAUGACGCGUGAGUGAUGAAGGUCUUAGGGUUGUAAAGCUCUUUUACCCGGGAUGAUAAUGACGGUACCGAGAGAAUAAGCUCCGGCUAACUCCGUG
rnacentral:rRNA from 1 species